ACUUCGGAGAAGCUCAUUUAAUUGAGUGCCGAAGGGGCAAGGCAUAUAUUUUAUGCCGAAACUCUCAGGCAAAAGGACGAAGAC
rnacentral:ncRNA from 1 species